CAGUCGAACGAAGCACAGAAAGCAGAUUACUUCGGUUUGAAGCUUUCUGUGACUGAGUGGCGGACGGGUGAGUAACGCGUGGAUAACCUGCCUCACACAGGGGGAUAACAGUUAGAAAUGACUGCUAAUACCGCAUAAGCGCACAGUCUCGCAUGGGACAGUGUGAAAAACUGAGGUGGUGUGAGAUGGAUCCGCGUCUGAUUAGGCAGUUGGCGGGGUAACGGCCCACCAAACCGACGAUCAGUAGCCGGCCUGAGAGGGUGAACGGCCACAUUGGGACUGAGACACGGCCCAAACUCCUACGGGAGGCAGCAGUGGGGAAUAUUGCACAAUGGGGGGAACCCUGAUGCAGCGACGCCGCGUGAGCGAAGAAGUAUCUCGGUAUGUAAAGCUCUAUCAGCAGGGAAGAAAAAUGACGGUACCUGACUAAGAAGCCCCGGCUAACUACGUGCCAGCAGCCGCGGUAAUACGUAGGGGGCAAGCGUUAUCCGGAUUUACUGGGUGUAAAGGGAGCGCAGGCGGCGCGGCAAGUCUGAUGUGAAAGCCCGGGGCUCAACCCCGGGACUGCAUUGGAAACUGUCGCGCUCGAGUGUCGGAGAGGUAAGUGGAAUUCCUAGUGUAGCGGUGAAAUGCGUAGAUAUUAGGAGGAACACCAGUGGCGAAGGCGGCUUACUGGACGACAACUGACGCUGAGGCUCGAAAGCGUGGGGAGCAAACAGGAUUAGAUACCCUGGUAGUCCACGCCG
rnacentral:rRNA from 1 species